CCCCCCCUUUUCCUGUGACCUGCAGAAGAGCUGCUGUUCAGCCUCUCGGUGCCUGUGUGUGGUUGCCCGGACUCGGCGAGAGAAGCACAGACUGCAGUGGAAAGGGAUGGCACAGAGCAAGAUUCAAGCAUGGGCAGCCCAGGGAUCCCUGGCUGGAUCCAAACGGGCUCCCAAAACCUCCGUGAGCUCUUCCCCCUCGGCAGUGGCAUCACCCAGCUGCCAGAGCCUGGCACGCGCCCGCAGCCGCCCAGCCGGGCGGGAGCAUCUCCUCCUGCCAUGCCUGCCAAGACUCCCACUCCCAAGACUGUACGACAGGAGAAAAGGGAACAGAAAUUCACGUUUUCACAUUUAGCUUCCUUUGUACUCAGCUAAUUAGCGCCUGAGUCUGGUGAUGUCAUUAAAGCAGCGCUAAGUCUUUA